rnacentral:rRNA from 1 species
UACAGAGGUCCCAAGCGUUGUUCGGAUUCAUUGGGCGUAAAGGGUGCGUAGGCGGCGCGGUAAGUCGGGUGUGAAAUCUCGGGGCUUAACUCCGAAACUGCAUUCGAUACUGCCGUGCUUGAGGACUGGAGAGGAGACUGGAAUUUACGGUGUAGUGGUGAAAUGCGUAGAUAUCGGGAGGAACACCAGUGGCGAAGGCGGCUUUCUGGUCUGCUCUUGACGCUGAGGCGCGAAAGCUAGGGUAGCAAACGGG